rnacentral:rRNA from 1 species
UACGUAGGGUGCGAGCGUUGUCCGGAAUUAUUGGGCGUAAAGAGCUCGUAGGCGGUGUGUCACGUCGGCCGUGAAAACCUGGGGCUUAACUCUGGGCGUGCGGUCGAUACGGGCAUCACUAGAGUUCGGCAGGGGAGACUGGAAUUCCUGGUGUAGCGGUGAAAUGCGCAGAUAUCAGGAGGAACACCGGUGGCGAAGGCGGGUCUCUGGGCCGAUACUGACGC